GCCCGCUCGCCCGCCGCGGGCUAGGCUUCCCGGCCCGGGCCUGAACUCCACCGUAGGUGCUUCCCCGGUCCCCCGGUUCCAGCCCAGCCCCCUCCCCACACUCUUGCGGGACCGGGACCAUCCACCUCGGGGCCCGGUUCAAGUAGCGGGACCUCUGUAAGCCUCCGUUUCCACGAAGUAUAAAAUGUAAACAGUGGGAGAACAUGCCCUCCUAGGGGUGUCGCGAGGGUGGAGUGAGAGAACGCGAGGCUCGGGAAGCGAGCGAGCUGACCCCGCUCGGCAGGCCCGGGACCCCGGCCCUGAUUGGCGCUUGAGCUCCCGGGGCGGGGGUCCCUCCCCACCGCCUCCCCUUGUUUCCGCACCAGGCCCCGGCUGCGCCUCCUCCGUGUAAAGCCGCGUUGUCAGACGAGACUGUACAGCGAAUAAGUCAAAACCCUGUGCCGGGAACGGGAGCGGGGACAGGCUUCCAAGGAAUGUCCUGCUUCGGGUUGAGCCGAGAUGGUUAAUGGACUUGCUUCUCUUUAGAUGUCAUCGCGGCGAUGGUCAGUGCCGUGGCAGAGUUUGGCGAGAGCGGCGAGGGAUCUGUCAGGGCUUCUUGUAGGAGGUGUGAGGUCUGAGCUGAGACAGUAACCUCCGGUCAGAGGUUAUUUCUUUUCUCGCUGAGGCCCCUUGUCUCUCUCUGUUCCUCCCCGGAAGCUGUGCGUCCCCGUGUGGCUCCAGCUCCCCCCAGGGAGCUGGGCCCGCCAGGUUCCGGGGAUGGAAGCUGGAGGCCUCCCACGGGAGGAGCCUUCGCUGCUGCACAGGGUGGGUGGUUCUAUUGUUCUUGCUGUUUCUGUAACGAAGGGAUCAGAAGUGAAGGUGCCGUGGGUCGUGGGUCGGCAAAGCAGUCCUUUUGAAGUUGUCACCAGCGCUGAGUUCACGGCUCACACUAGCGGUGUCACCGGUGAAAUGAACCCGAGUGUCUGUCGGUGGUUCAGCCUCACACAGGCCCUUCCCUUCAAAUCCGGUGUUUUUUUUUCAGGACUCAGAGUAAUGUUCAUUUAAAAAAACAGUGGAGCGCACCAGAAAGUCAAAAGACAAGUGUUUUGUACAUUGACCCAAGUGCCCCCUCGACCGGUUUGCCCUUCUUCCUCCCAGCCUUAAAAACAAAAGGCAUUGUGUCGUUUUACCAAAGUUGUGGUCCUGCCACACUGAUUUUUGGGUUCUGUUUCCCGAGGUGGCCCCUCCAGAUGGCCUAGGAUCUGUAAACACCGGCCUCUCGCCCCAUCCAGGCGUGUGUAUUUUGGGAUGCUCUGCUUAGGGUGGAUCAGGAGAGCAGUGAGACUCUGGGCCCAGGCUUGCCAGAAGUGGGUGGUGAGUAGGUGGGAUUUGUGGAGGGGCCGGGGAAGAUGGCUGUACCAGGAGGGACCCGGAUGUGUCAUGCAGAGUGUGCAUGUUACCUGUGCAGUACCUGAACCGAGUCAAUGGCCUUCUGCCUCCGCCGAGGGGACACUGGGCAGUGUCUGGGCACAUCUGUGAUUGUCAUGACUGGGUGCUGCUAGCAUUGAGUGGGUGGGGCCAAGGAUGCUGCCCAACUCCCCACAGCGCCCAGGGUGGCCCCUUUCCCUACACACAUGGGUUUACCAGCCCCAAGUGUCUGUGGUACCAACACGAUCAGUGUCCCAGCACUGACCUGUUGUAUACUUUGGGAAUGUGGUGGGGGAGCUAGCCAAGGCCUAUAGGGAUGACAGACCCUGAAAAGCACCACCUCCCUUAGCUCCUUGGGCCCAGAGGCUAGAUGCACAGGAGCCCAAGAACCCUGGAUGGGGUUGGGGGACCGACCACUGCGGUUUGGGGGGGGGGGCUUGGGUGUGGCACCCAAGUGAAGGCAUUUUGGCUUCACUUUCUAUUGUGCAAAAAGCCAGACAGGGAGGGGGCAGCCUGGCUUCCCACUGGUUAGUGUUAUUUGCCUCAGUUAUCUUUUCUGCAAACUAGAUCUCAACAAACAGCAGCGCCGCAUCCUCUUUGUCUGAUACUCCUGAGCUGCUGCAGAAACCUUUUUUCUGCUUUUUGGUCUUCCUCCACCUCCACCCCACCUCAGAAUCCCCUUUACGAAAUAAUGCCCAUCAGAUGUUCUUUAACCUGAGUGCACAGGCCCUGGGAGUGCCACCGCAGUCCAGCUACUCCGCCCCAAAGACAGGGAGAUGGGGGGACUCAGAGCCAGUUCAUUGUGCUGUGUGGCUGCUGGUAACUGUCUGUCCUGAAGGGACUGUCUUCUGAUCACGACAGAGGCCUGUGUCCUCAGGAAUGGACAUGCUACAGGCAUUGAGGGGCCUGUGGCUCUUGGUUGGUAUUUCAUUCCGUCAUUCAUCCCACAGACCUUUGCAGACAUUUGUACUGGUCAGGGGGUCAGUGUGUUGAGCUGCUGGAUAGAGAAGGCAGGCCUGGAGGUGAUGGGAGGGUGUGUCCAGAGAGCACUGGGCCACAUUCACUCCAGGCACAUCCUGGUGAUACUUGUCCCUCUGUGUCCUAGAGGCCAGUUCUGUGCCCACCUACUUGGCAGUCACAUAUCACAGUUGCUUGUCUGGAGAGACUGGUGUCCCCUCCUGUGGGAGCGUAGCCCACGAGGCCUUCCCAGAGCAGGGGUGUGGGCUCUGUUUCAGGAGCCAGCCCUGUCACCCCCUCCCCAGCACCUGCCUGCAGAGUCAAGUAAUAAAAGCCACUGUGCUCAUGUGUAA